GUGAAGCGGCAACAGCUCAAAUUUGAAAUCUGGCCUCUUUGGGGUCCGAGUUGUAAUUUGUAGAGGAUGUUUCGGGUACCGCCUCGGUUUAAAUUUCUUGGAACAGAAUGUCAGAGAGGGUGAGAAUCCCGUCUUGGACCGGCGGUAGGGCCCAUGUGAAACUCCUUCGACGAGUCGAGUUGUUUGGGAAUGCAGCUCAAAAUGGGUGGUAAAUUUCAUCUAAAGCUAAAUAUUGGCCAGAGACCGAUAGCGCACAAGUAGAGUGAUCGAAAGAUGAAAAGAACUUUGAAAAGAGAGUUAAACAGUAUGUGAAAUUGUUGAAAGGGAAGCGCUUGCAACCAGACUUGAGCGCGGCGGUUCCCCCUUCCUUUUGGUUGGGUUACUCCGCCGUGUCCAGGCCAACAUCGGUUCUGGGGGUCGGUUAAAGGCCCGGGGAAUGUACCUACUCCUUCGGGGGUAGACUUAUAGCCCCGGGUGUCAUGCGACCACCCGGGACCGAGGAACGCGCUUCGGCUCGGAUGUUGGCGUAAUGGUUGUCAGCGACCCGUCUUGAAACACGGACCAA
rnacentral:rRNA from 1 species